UGUUGAUGCAUAUUUUCAUGACCAAAGGCUUCGGCCGGUAAAGGAUGGGGAUGCGUCUGAUUAGCUUGCCGGCGGGGUAACGGCCCACCGGGGCGACGAUCAGUAGGGGUUCUGAGAGGAAGGUCCCCCACAUUGGAACUGAGACACGGUCCAAACUCCUACGGAAGGCAGCAG
rnacentral:rRNA from 1 species